UACGUAGGGUGCAAGCGUUAAUCGGAAUUACUGGGCGUAAAGCGUGCGCAGGCGGUUUUGUAAGUCAGAUGUGAAAUCCCCGGGCUCAACCUGGGAACUCGCGUUUGUGACUGUAUGACUAGAGUACGGUAGAGAGGGGUGGAAUUCUGGUGUAGCGGUGAAAUGCGCAGAUAUCAGGAGGAACACCGAUGGCGAAGGCAGGUCUCUGGGCCACUACUGACGCUGAGAAGCGAAAGCAUGGGGAGCGAACAGG
rnacentral:rRNA from 1 species